AUUCGGUGGUUUACUGCCGUUUGAAAGGGGUGGAAACUUAUCUGGGUUACCCGGAAAGGAGUACACCUUUUUUCUUAACCCUUGACUUUGCGCACUCAUGUUUCCUCGGUAGGCUUGCCUGCCGAAUGGACGAAUCUAUAACCUUUUUACUAUUUAAUCAGCGUCUGAACAAUUAUAAUAAUUACAACUUUCAACAACGGAUCUCUUGGUUCU
rnacentral:misc_RNA from 1 species